GGAGGGUCAUUGGAAACUGGGAAACUUGAGUGCAGAAGAGGAGAGUGGAAUUCCACGUGUAGCGGUGAAAUGCGUAGAGAUGUGGAGGAACACCAGUGGCGAAGGCGACUCUCUGGUCUGUAACUGACGCUGAGGAGCGAAAGCGUGGGGAGCGAACAGGAUUAGAUACCCUGGUAGUCCACGCCGUAAACGAUGAGUGCUAAGUGUUAGGGGGUUUCCGCCCCUUAGUGCUGCAGCUAACGCAUUAAGCACUCCGCCUGGGGAGUACGGUCGCAAGACUGAAACUCAAAGGAAUUGACGGGGGCCCGCACAAGCGGUGGAGCAUGUGGUUUAAUUCGAAGCAACGCGAAGAACCUUACCAGGUCUUGACAUCCUCUGACAACCCUAGAGAUAGGGCUUUCCCUUCGGGGACAGAGUGACAGGUGGUGCAUGGUUGUCGUCAGCUCGUGUCGUGAGAUGUUGGGUUAAGUCCCGCAACGAGCGCAACCCUUGAUCUUAGUUGCCAGCAUUCAGUUGGGCACUCUAAGGUGACUGCCGGUGACAAACCGGAGGAAGGUGGGGAUGACGUCAAAUCAUCAUGCCCCUUAUGACCUGGGCUACACACGUGCUACAAUGGACAGAACAAAGGGCUGCAAGACCGCAAGGUUUAGCCAAUCCCAUAAAUCUGUUCUCAGUUCGGAUCGCAGUCUGCAACUCGACUGCGUGAAGCUGGAAUCG
rnacentral:rRNA from 1 species